rnacentral:rRNA from 2 species
GGGUUGUGAGGUUAAGCGACUAAGCGUACACGGUGGAUGCCCUGGCAGUCAGAGGCGAUGAAGGGCGUGCUAAUCUGCGAUAAGCGCCGGUAAGGUGAUAUGAACCGUUAUAACCGGCGAUACCCGAAUGGGGAAACCCAGUGUGAUUCGUCACACUAUCAUUAACUGAAUCCAUAGGUUAAUGAGGCGAACCGGGGGAACUGAAACAUCUAAGUACCCCGAGGAAAAGAAAUCAACCGAGAUUCCCCCAGUAGCGGCGAGCGAACGGGGAGGAGCCCAGAGCCUGAAUCAGCAUGUGUGUUAGUGGAAGCGUCUGGAAAGGCGCGCGAUACAGGGUGACAGCCCCGUACACAAAAGCGCAUGUGCUGUGAGCUCGAUGAGUAGGGCGGGACACGUGGUAUCCUGUCUGAAUAUGGGGGGACCAUCCUCCAAGGCUAAAUACUCCUGACUGACCGAUAGUGAACCAGUACCGUGAGGGAAAGGCGAAAAGAACCCCGGCGAGGGGAGUGAAAAAGAACCUGAAACCGUGUACGUACAAGCAGUGGGAGCCCCACCACCAAAGCGUUUCGCUUUGUGUGGUGCACAAAGAAGCGUAACGACAGCACUGAAUGACGGUUAACGGAGCGCAAGCGACGUUCAACAUACAAAGUCAAGCAGUGGAGCGCUUUGGGGUGGGGUGACUGCGUACCUUUUGUAUAAUGGGUCAGCGACUUAUAUUCUGUAGCAAGGUUAACCGAAUAGGGGAGCCGGAGGGAAACCGAGUCUUAAUUGGGCGUUAAGUUGCAGGGUAUAGACCCGAAACCCGGUGAUCUAGCCAUGGGCAGGUUGAAGGUUGGGUAACACUAACUGGAGGACCGAACCGACUAAUGUUGAAAAAUUAGCGGAUGACCUGUGGCUGGGGGUGAAAGGCCAAUCAAACCGGGAGAUAGCUGGUUCUCCCCGAAAGCUAUUUAGGUAGCGCCUCGUGAAUUCAUCUCCGGGGGUAGAGCACUGUUUCGGCUAGGGGGCCAUCCCGGCUUACCAACCCGAUGCAAACUGCGAAUACCGGAGAAUGUUAUCACGGGAGACACACGGCGGGUGCUAACGUCCGUCGUGAAGAGGGAAACAACCCAGACCGCCAGCUAAGGUCCCAAAGUCAUGGUUAAGUGGGAAACGAUGUGGGAAGGCCCAGACAGCCAGGAUGUUGGCUUAGAAGCAGCCAUCAUUUAAAGAAAGCGUAAUAGCUCACUGGUCGAGUCGGCCUGCGCGGAAGAUGUAACGGGGCUAAACCAUGCACCGAAGCUGCGGCAGCGACGCUUAUGCGUUGUUGGGUAGGGGAGCGUUCUGUAAGCCUGUGAAGGUGGCCUGUGAGGGUUGCUGGAGGUAUCAGAAGUGCGAAUGCUGACAUAAGUAACGAUAAAGCGGGUGAAAAGCCCGCUCGCCGGAAGACCAAGGGUUCCUGUCCAACGUUAAUCGGGGCAGGGUGAGUCGACCCCUAAGGCGAGGCCGAAAGGCGUAGUCGAUGGGAAACGGGUUAAUAUUCCCGUACUUGGUGUUACUGCGAAGGGGGGACGGAGAAGGCUAUGUUGGCCGGGCGACGGUUGUCCCGGUUUAAGCGUGUAGGUGUGUGUUCCAGGUAAAUCCGGUUCACUUUAACACUGAGGCGUGACGACGAGGCACUACGGUGCUGAAGCAACAAAUGCCCUGCUUCCAGGAAAAGCCUCUAAGCAUCAGGUAACAUCAAAUCGUACCCCAAACCGACACAGGUGGUCAGGUAGAGAAUACCAAGGCGCUUGAGAGAACUCGGGUGAAGGAACUAGGCAAAAUGGUGCCGUAACUUCGGGAGAAGGCACGCUGACACGUAGGUGAAGUGAUUUACUCAUGGAGCUGAAGUCAGUCGAAGAUACCAGCUGGCUGCAACUGUUUAUUAAAAACACAGCACUGUGCAAACACGAAAGUGGACGUAUACGGUGUGACGCCUGCCCGGUGCCGGAAGGUUAAUUGAUGGGGUCAGCGCAAGCGAAGCUCCUGAUCGAAGCCCCGGUAAACGGCGGCCGUAACUAUAACGGUCCUAAGGUAGCGAAAUUCCUUGUCGGGUAAGUUCCGACCUGCACGAAUGGCGUAAUGAUGGCCAGGCUGUCUCCACCCGAGACUCAGUGAAAUUGAACUCGCUGUGAAGAUGCAGUGUACCCGCGGCAAGACGGAAAGACCCCGUGAACCUUUACUAUAGCUUGACACUGAACAUUGAGCCUUGAUGUGUAGGAUAGGUGGGAGGCUUUGAAGCGUGGACGCCAGUCUGCGUGGAGCCGACCUUGAAAUACCACCCUUUAAUGUUUGAUGUUCUAACGUGGACCCGUAAUCCGGGUUGCGGACAGUGUCUGGUGGGUAGUUUGACUGGGGCGGUCUCCUCCUAAAGAGUAACGGAGGAGCACGAAGGUUGGCUAAUCCUGGUCGGACAUCAGGAGGUUAGUGCAAUGGCAUAAGCCAGCUUGACUGCGAGCGUGACGGCGCGAGCAGGUGCGAAAGCAGGUCAUAGUGAUCCGGUGGUUCUGAAUGGAAGGGCCAUCGCUCAACGGAUAAAAGGUACUCCGGGGAUAACAGGCUGAUACCGCCCAAGAGUUCAUAUCGACGGCGGUGUUUGGCACCUCGAUGUCGGCUCAUCACAUCCUGGGGCUGAAGUAGGUCCCAAGGGUAUGGCUGUUCGCCAUUUAAAGUGGUACGCGAGCUGGGUUUAGAACGUCGUGAGACAGUUCGGUCCCUAUCUGCCGUGGGCGCUGGAGAACUGAGGGGGGCUGCUCCUAGUACGAGAGGACCGGAGUGGACGCAUCACUGGUGUUCGGGUUGUCAUGCCAAUGGCACUGCCCGGUAGCUAAAUGCGGAAGAGAUAAGUGCUGAAAGCAUCUAAGCACGAAACUUGCCCCGAGAUGAGUUCUCCCUGAGACUUAGAGUCUCCUGAAGGAACGUUGAAGACGACGACGUUGAUAGGCCGGGUGUGUAAGCGCAGCGAUGCGUUGAGCUAACCGGUACUAAUGAACCGUGAGGCUUAACCUUACAACGCCGAAG